UCUGUAACCUGUAGAUGAUGGGUGGCGAGUCCGGCAACCACAGAUCCAUUCCCCUGCAUAAUUUUCGUUUUUUCAUUUGAUUUGGUACAAGGCCUACUCAGAAUGGGUUCCCUGAUCUCAAAAUUGUCAGUUUUCUUGCCUUUAGUUUAUAGGUACCUUAACAAAUACAUGUAUUUACCAUAUUGGCAGUCAGCACCAUACGACAUUCAUUCUUCAUGAUCUCAUAUUUGAGGUUAGCAGUUCGAAGUAAUGUAAGAGCUUGCAUGUUUAUAGUUCUAACUAGCUUUUAGUUUAGCGUAGGAUAAGUCUUCCAUGAAUUCUUAGUUAGCUAUUUAUUUUUGCUGGCUUUGCAUGACACUGCAAUUUUUUCAUAUUUUUCUUCAAAAGUUAACUAUUUUCUUAUCUACAAUUAUCUCCUAGCGUUAGCAAGUCUGUCGUCCCUGACCACCCUGUCAGUCAUCUAUACAACUGUGGUUCAUGCCUGCGUGCUAUCCGCUCCUAAAUUCUCACACCAUGUCAGGUGUUUAGAAGUGAUGAUCAUUGUGGUCUUUAGUUGUCAUGGCUGUAAUCCUAGUGCAUGGGCUUUUGUGGGCUGGUCCAACCGGAGUUGGUUGAUGGCAGGGCUGUGCUCCAGGGACCGUAUGGCUGAAGAAGGGAUGCAAAUGGUAAGAGUUUUGAGAUGCAUAAACUCCCGUCUUUGAAUCAGAAACAGAAAAUUGUUUGUUUUCUCGUUUCUUAGUUAUGCUACCCUGCUCCACAUAGGUUUUACAGUGAAGAGCUGAAGAAGUUGUGACGGCGAUGAAAGGACUGAAAGAUUUGCUCGAAGCAAAGACAUCUAGCCGAGAUACAUAUGGUAAGAAUCUUCAGAGAUUGACUUCUUUUCACCUACUAUUGAGAUAUAUACUUGCUCAUAGGUCACAACUCAAGUUACUUCCUUACCUGCACAUAAAGUAGUGAUAAGUCGAUAUAAUUUUUCCGAGAACCUAUUUUUUUAAUAUGACAGCAUUCUACCUGCCCUCUGUUCUCUUUUAUGAUAUUUUUUGCUUUUCAUACAUUUUGUAGCAACGAAGAGGAGGGAUCUUAUGUAUAAUAUGCGACAUCCAUGGUGCUUAAG
rnacentral:lncRNA from 1 species